UACGAAGGGUGCAAACGUUGCUCGGAAUUAUUGGGCGUAAAGCGCACGUAGGCGGCUUGGCAAGUCGGAUGUGAAAUCCCUCGGCUCAACCAAGGAAGUGCAUCCGAAACUGCUGAGCUUGAGUUCUUAAGAGGAUCGCGGAAUUCCUGGUGUAGCGGUGAAAUGCGCAGAUAUCAGGAGGAACACCAACGGCGAAGGCAGCACUCUGGGCCGGUACUGACGCUGAGGAGCGAAAGCGUGGGGAGCAAACAGG
rnacentral:rRNA from 1 species